AGUGAACGCUGGCGGUAGGCCUAACACAUGCAUGUCGAACGGCAGCACAGUAAGAGCUUGCUCUUACGGGUGGCGAGUGGCGGACGGGUGAGGAAUACAUCGGAAUCUACUUUUUCGUGGGGGAUAACGUAGGGAAACUUACGCUAAUACCGCAUACGACCUACGGGUGAAAGCAGGGGAUCUUCGGACCUUGCGCGAUUGAAUGAGCCGAUGUCGGAUUAGCUAGUUGGCGGGGUAAAGGCCCACCAAGGCGACGAUCCGUAGCUGGUCUGAGAGGAUGAUCAGCCAAACUGGAACUGAGACACGGUCCAGACUCCUACGGGAGGCAGCAGUGGGGAAUAUUGGACAAUGGGCGCAAGCCUGAUCCAGCCAUACCGCGUGGGUGAAGAAGGCCUUCGGGUUGUAAAGCCCUUUUGUUGGGAAAGAAAAGCAGCAGGUUAAUACCCCGCUGUUCUGACGGUACCCAAAGAAUAAGCACCGGCUAACUUCGUG
rnacentral:rRNA from 1 species